AGUGAACGCUGGCGGUAGGCCUAACACAUGCAAGUCGAACGGCAGCACAGUAAGAGCUUGCUCUUACGGGUGGCGAGUGGCGGACGGGUGAGGAAUACAUCGGAAUCUACUUUUUUGUGGGGGAUAACGUAGGGAAACUUACGCUAAUACCGCAUACGACCUACGGGUGAAAGCAGGGGAUCUUCGGACCUUGCGCGAUUGAAUGAGCCGAUGUCGGAUUAGCUAGUUGGCGGGGUAAAGGCCCACCAAGGCGACGAUCCGUAGCUGGUCUGAGAGGUUGAUCAGCCACACUGGAACUGGGACACGGUCCAGACUCCUACGGGAGGCAGCAGUGGGGAAUAUUGGACAAUGGGCGCAAGCCUGAUCCAGCCAUACCGCGUGGGUGAAGAAGGCCUUCGGGUUGUAAAGCCCUUUUGUUGGGAAAGAAAAGCAGCAGGUUAAUACCCCGCUGUUCUGACGGUACCCAAAGAAUAAGCACCGGCUAACUUCGUG
rnacentral:rRNA from 1 species